UUUAAGUGCAACCAUAAGUUUUCGUGCCCAAUUUUAAUUGUCCGUCUUAUUUUAUUUUUUUAUAAUUAGUAUUUUUAUUGUUAUGAGAUGAUAAAAUAUGAAUAGUACUUUAUAUGUGACUUAUGUUUUUUAAAAUUUUCAAAAAAAAAAAUAAAUAAGACAAACGGUCAAAAUUGUGCACGGAAAAUCAUAUUUGCACUUAAA
rfam:Oryza barthii chromosome 9, whole genome shotgun sequence.